GUACCUUUUUAAGAGGAGGUAUUGGAGGUAAUCGAUGAAAAAUCCAGUUAAAAGAUAUAUGGAACUCCUCAAAAUGGGAAAGCCUCACCUCUAGACAAACUCUUGUUAAUCCUCUAAAGCCCCACAUUCAAACCCUUGGUGAUAUGAUGGCCAUAGCAGAUCCCACGUUUGGAGAUACCAUAGCGUUAGAAACAGGGUAUGCAGAUACAAACCUAUGGCUGGAAUGGUUGAGAUAUAAUGCCCAUUCCAGCAAUAGGUCAAACUGUUAUGUAUGUGGUAGUGCCAGACCUCAUCUAGGAACUGUACCUUUACAUGUCCCUGAUGAGUACUGGGAAUGCUUCCUAAGUUUGUUUUCAGGUACUACUGUUAAUACUACAGGAUGUGAAGAAUGGAAAAAGGGUCACCCUAUUGGUGAACCCAAGUUUAAAUUAAAUGAUGUUGUCUCAGUAUACCCUGGUAAUUAUACUUGUUUUCAGGGAAAUAAUAAUGGUAAGGUGGGUAAACCAUUUGAUAACUUUUCUUCAGGAUUCUGCUCCGCCUACAGUAAUAUUACCUUCGUGAAUCAAACACAAUCUGUGGGAGAUGUUUAUUGAAUAUGUGGAGAUAUGAAAAUACGUUCUAGACUCCCCACCCCCUGGAGAGGAGAAUGUGCCCCAGCCAAAAUAAUCAUGCUCCUCCAUAUAUUUGGCGACUCUCUCCCUGAAAUUAAGGUUGUAACUGAUUCCACAAGAAGGAAAAGGGAAUCCCCACAAGGUAGUUUCGACCCACAUAUCUAUCUAGAUGCCAUUGGUAUUCCAAGAGGGGUUCCUAAUGAAUUUAAAGCUAGAGACGAGGUGGCAGCAGGAUUUGAAUCAAUAUUUCCCAUUAUAACAGCUAACAAGAAUGUUAACUGGAUUAAUUAUAUAUAUUAUAAUCAGCAAAGAUUUGUAAAUUAUACACGAGAUGCAUUACAAGGUCUUGCUGAACAAUUACAGGCUACCUCACAAAUGACUUUCCAGAAUAGAAUGGCCCUUGAUAUGAUUUUAGCAGAAAAGGGAGGAGUCUGUAAAUUACUUGACUCCGGUGUUUGUUGUACCUAUAUUACAGAGAACACUGGCCCUAAUGGUAAAGUAACCCUAGCUAUAAAGAAAUUGGAAGACCUGUCCAUAGAAAUGAAGAGGAAUUCAGGUAUUGAUCACCCAGGGGCAGAUAUGUUUAAGUUUGACAGUAUCCUAGACUGGUUAAAGAAUAUUGCAAUACUUAUUGUUAUGGUUCUGAUCCUUGCUCUACUUGUUUAUGCUAUUUUCAAGAUUAUUGUAUUCUGCAUUUACAAACAUACACGCAACACUGUUCCUGUAAAAUCCCCUGCUUGCUAUGAUGAGUAUCUCCAAAUGUAUACACAUAACCAAAGCAAUGGUGAACAUGCUGAUACAGAUCUAUAAGUUUGUGGUACUGGUCAGAUGCCUAGUCCUAUGCUAUGGGAAUAGUGGCCGAAGACAUAAUGAAAGACCUGCAGGAUUGGCUAGCAAUCCUGAAUAUA